rnacentral:rRNA from 1 species
CGCCUUCGCCAGCCCGCUCAGAACUACAAAGGAAUGACGGGGCCCGGCACAAGCGGCGGAGCAUGUGGAUUAAUUCGAUGCAACGCGAAGAACCUUACCUGGGUUUGACAUAUACCGGAAAGCUGCAGAGAUGUGGCCCCCCUUGUGGUCGGUAUACAGGUGGUGCAUGGCUGUCGUCAGCUCGUGUCGUGAGAUGUUGGGUUAAGUCCCGCAACGAGCGCAACCCUCGACUUUAGUUACCAUCAUUAAGUUGGGUACUUUAAAGUAACCGCCGGUGAUAAGCCGGAGGAAGGUGGGGAUGACGUCAAGUCCUCAUGGCCCUUACGCGCUGGGCUACACACGUGCUACAAUGGCAAGUACAGUGGGCAGCAAUCCCGCGAGGGUGAGCUAAUCUCCAAAACUUGUCUCAGUUCGGAUUGUUCUCUGCAACUCGAGAGCAUGAAGGCGGAAUCGCUAGUAAUCGCGGAUCAGCAUGCCGCGGUGAAUACGUUCCCAGGCCUU